UUGACAAGGGGGAUAAUUCCAUCAGUCUGCCCUUUACGGCAGCCCAGCCGAUUUACAGCUGCAGGAAGAAAAAGCCCCCUACAGGAUCUUCUUGAGGUAAACCACAAAAGAUGGAUGAUUGAUGAAUCAUUGAAAUUAUGGCUGGUAUGAUUUCAAAAUUAUUGGCAUCAAUGGUUGGAUGACAAAUGCUCGAUGGUGAUGCUUCCACAGAUGGGACAACAUAGUCCCUCAAUGGUUUCAGUUCCUCAGCCAUAGGUGAUGGCUUUUCCAAUAUUUCGUCCUUCCUCUUCACCCGGUUGAAUCUGUUAAGCUUGUGAAGCAUUUGUUCGAUCUCUGGAUCUAGUAGUAUAAGCUUAAGACUCUGCGAACGUCUCCCAAAACUCAUGCACUAGGUAAAGUACCUGAAAACCAAACAAAAUCAAAUUAAAAAAAAUAAUAAUAAAAUAAAAAUAAAAAUAUGAAUCAAUCUAUAUUGAUAUUAAUAAAAAUUAAAACACUCCCCCGAC
rnacentral:lncRNA from 1 species